AAACGACUCUCGGCAACGGAUAUCUCGGCUCUCGCAUCGAUGAAGAACGUAGCGAAAUGCGAUACUUGGUGUGAAUUGCAGAAUCCCGUGAACCAUCGAGUCUUUGAACGCAAGUUGCGCCCCAAGCCUUCUGGCCGAGGGCACGUCUGCCUGGGUGUCACUA
rnacentral:rRNA from 2 species